CAUGGCUCAGUUGGUAGAGCGUCCGCUUCAUCAGCGAAAAGGCGUUGGUUCGAGUC
rnacentral:tRNA from 1 species